UACGUAGGGUGCAAGCGUUAAUCGGAAUUACUGGGCGUAAAGCGUGCGCAGGCGGCUUUGCAAGACAGAUGUGAAAUCCCCGGGCUCAACCUGGGAACUGCAUUUGUGACUGCAAAGCUAGAGUACGGCAGAGGGGGAUGGAAUUCCGCGUGUAGCAGUGAAAUGCGUAGAUAUGCGGAGGAACACCGAUGGCGAAGGCAAUCCCCUGGGCCUGCACUGACGCUCAUGCACGAAAGCGUGGGGAGCAAACAGG
rnacentral:rRNA from 1 species